UACGGAGGGGGCGAGCGUUAUUCGGAAUUAUUGGGCGUAAAGGGCGCGUAGGCGGCUGUACAAGUCAAAGGUGAAAUCCCUCGGCUCAACUGAGGAACUGCCUUUGAAACUGUACGGCUUGAGGCCGGGAGGGGGUAGCGGAAUUCCCAGUGUAGCGGUGAAAUGCGUAGAUACUGGGAGGAACACCAGUGGCGAAGGCGGCUCACUGGACCGGUUCUGACGCUGAGGCGCGAAAGCGUGGGGAGCAAACGGG
rnacentral:rRNA from 1 species